AUAUGGUCUCCUGACAUUUUAAUUUGGUCUCCUGACAUUUUAAUAUGGUCUCCUGACAUUUUAAUUUGGCAUUCUUGACAUUAAGAAUUGUAAAACUUGUGUGAAUCUCCAAUACUUCCAUGAGAUCUUAUUUGCAUGUGUGGAUUACUUGUUCAAUUUAUUUGCCAGCUAUUCAUUUUAAUGAUAUUAUUUUCUAUAUUUCUUCACUUUUAAUAAAGUUCGAUGUGGUUAAAAACUUAUUGACAAGCAUAAAUUAUUAUAACAAGCAUAGUCCAUUUUAAAAAAAAAAAUAGUCUACAUUUUUUGUUAGUAAACAAAUAUUUUCAGACUAACUUCCAUAAACUUUUUAAAAAAAGUAAACAAAUAACAAGCAGACUAUUUGUUCUAAUAAUUCAACUAUGUUCAUUACUUUCCAUGACUAUUUUAGAAAAGAUAAAAUUAUGGGGGAAAUAUUAGUACCCCAAUGAAAAGCUUCUAUAUCACUAAUAAAUUGUCCUGUACUUAAAUAUUAACAAAUCAAAAUAAUCUCAAUACCUACUUCUGAAGUUUAAGUAAUUGUAACUAUGAAAAUGAUAAUAUCAUAAAUGCUUGUAGCUGCAUGUAUUUCAUCUUAUUUGGGCUGUCAUAAUUGUAUUCCACAAAUGAAUUUCACUCAAUAAUUUUGUUAUUGGACAGUAAAUGAGUUAUCAAGUUUUCCCAUAUCAUAUAAACAUUUUUCUAAGGAAACAUUACUCUUUAGUAUCUAAGACUAAGAUUAAGACUGCUUUAUUGAUCCUUACUGCACUUUUUGUUUUCUUAAAGUAGAGCAAUUUUUGAAUAAGUUUGCACAAAUGCUACCAUAGCAGAAUUAUUACUUAAAGAAGUGAUAUUUUAGAAGUUUUUAUCUCUAUUAUUUCAGAAUCUAUUGUAGUAAGUAAUGCUUAUUGAGUAGAAUUGAAAGAACUAUGUUUUGUACACUUUUAUUAAAUACAUCUCAAAUCUCUUCUUAAAAGGAAACUGCCUUGAAGCAAUUAGUUACUGAAUAUAAGGAUGAUUAUUAUUUUUAUAACUUUUUCUAAAUCUUGUUUUAUUUGACAAGCUUGUUUCUACAUAUCCAAAUAUUGAAUGUUUACCUGCAAUGUGCUGGAUAAUAUAGACAUUGUUGAUGUUGUUUACAUGAAACAUAAGUGUCAAAUAUAUGGUCUUGAUUAAAAGUAUGUGUUUAUAUUUGUUAUCAUCAUUAAGUUAUAAAAGCUGUUGGCUGUUUUUCUAAAGUAAUUCUAUACAAAUUAUAAAUGUUUUUUAAUCAAUCAAUGAUUAAUUAUGCAUUAAAAAGUGGCAUUGUCAUACCAUUCUGUUUUGGUGUGUAUUAUCUGUCAUUAAUAAACAAUUAUAACCUCUACGAAUUUACAUGAAUUUUUUGUUUUGAUUUACAAGUUUUGGCUGUUUCUUC